GCCAUAUCACGUUGCAACACCAUUUCUCGUACGAUCACCAAAGUUAUACAAUGUCGAGCCUGAUUAGUACCUAGAUGGGUAACCGCUUGAGAAUACAAGGUGCUGUAAG